rnacentral:rRNA from 1 species
UACGGAGGAUGCGAGCGUUAUCCGGAUUUACUGGGUGUAAAGGGAGCGCAGGCGGCGUGGCAAGUCAGAUGUGAAAACCCGGGGCCCAACCCCGGGAGUGCAUUUGAAACUGCCAUGCUGGAGUGCCGGAGAGGUAAGCGGAAUUCCUAGUGUAGCGGUGAAAUGCGUAGAUAUCACGAAGAACUCCGAUUGCGAAGGCAGCUCACUGGACUGCAACUGACACUGAGGCUCGAAAGUGUGGGUAUCAAACAGG